CAGCUUCCUGCCCUACCAGCCUCCAUUGUUGUCCUCAAAGCUGGCCAAGUUCUGUUGACAUCUGAAAAUAACUUGGACAACCUAGAGGACAACGGUGGAGGCUGGUAGGGCAGGAGGCUG